GGAAUUUUGGGCAAUGGGCGAAAGCCUGACCCAGCAACGCCGCGUGAAGGAUGAAAUCCCUCGGGAUGUACACUUCGCAAGAACGGGAAGACUAAGUCUGUGUUAACACCACAGGUGAUGACGGUACCGUUUGUAAGCUCCGGCUAACUCCGUGCCAGCAGCCGCGGUAAUACGGGGGGAGCAAGCGUUGUUCGGAGUUACUGGGCGUAAAGGGCGCGUAGGCGGCCACCGCAAGUCGACUGUGAAAUCUCCGGGCUUAACUCGGAAAGGUCAGCCGAUACUGCGGGGCUAGAGUGCAGAAGGGGCAACUGGAAUUCUCGGUGUAGCGGUGAAAUGCGUAGAUAUCGAGAGGAACACCUGCGGCGAAGGCGGGUUGCUGGGCUGACACUGACGCUGAGGCGCGAAAGCUAGGGGAGCGAA
rnacentral:rRNA from 1 species